CCCGGAACAUCAAAAACUUGAGAUAAAAAUCAACCAGUAAUUUGACAUAAACAAAGAAAUGCACAACUUUGGCCUUAGUGGAAAAUAUAAAGGUGAAUCGUUCGACAAAAGAUUUACUUUAAAACGUUUAACUGGGUCAGUGUCGUAUAAUUAGAUCGAUAUCUGUCCAUAUCCGUAACCGAGGUUAAUAACUAGAUCACUAAAUUAUAAAGUGGCAGGUCGAAUCCGGAAACACAAAUGAAAUUACAAGAUACUAACUAGUGGCGGAUCCAAUUUUUUUCAUAAGUGGGGGUCCACUGACUGCUUAAGAGGUGGCCCGCUCCCGUCAUGCUACAUUGAUUCCCUAUAUAACCAACCAAAGUUUUCUCCAAAAAGGGGGACCGGGCCCCCUUUGGCCCUCCCCCUAAAUCUGCCUCUGAUAACUAACCUUACUUUAAAUGAAUGAGACACAACUUAAUAUCGCAGUGGACGGUGAGGAUGCAAGGAAUGUGGCGCGGAAUCAGGGUCAUAAAUAUCGGUUUUAGUAUAUCCUAAAAUGAUUUCAGUAUAUACUAAAUUACAUUUUAGCAUACCCUAAAUUGAUUUUAGGGUAUCCUAAAAUGAUUUUAGUAUAUCCUAAAAUGAUUUUAGUAUAUGCUAAAUUCAUUUUAGGGUAUCCUAAAGUCAAUUCAGUAUAUACUAAAAUGAUUUUAGCAUAUACUAAAAUCAUCUUAGGAUACCCUAAAAUCAAUUUAGCAUAUACUGAAAUAUUCAGCAUAUACAGAAAUAUUGGCGCGGUUUCAAGGUCAUAAAUAACGAUUUUAGUAUACACUUAAUUGAUUUUUAAGUAUAUCCUUAAUUCAAUUUGCUAAUAGUUUUGUUCACCAAUGAAAAGAUCGCUUUCUGGAGGAGUUGGAAAGACAGUCACUCGGACCUUGCUGAGAUGUGGCAAAUGUCCUCUCCCUUGACUUCAAACUUUGAAUAUUAAAAUACUUAUUCGGAAAAGAUAUAGUUACGAAACUGUUGACAGGUCAUUAAGGAUUGCAUAUUUUGGUAUUAAAUAUUGAUUCACUCAUUGUCUUUGCAUCGGAAAUAAACACAUUUAUUCUAAAACCAGUUGUUGAUAUGCUACGGGUUAUGUUCUUCUCAUUUAUUUUAUGAUGGUAUGAUACUAAACCCCUAAGGGAAGGGAUUGUACUUGAUUUUCAUAUGAUGAAGACAUAAUCUUUCAAUCAGUUUAAUUGAGGUCUGCAGCUUGCAUGUCAGUCCUUUGUUAAUUUAUUUAUCAUUGUCAUUUUGCUUGGUUUCUUUUGUUGCCUAUUCUGACAUCGGACUCGGACUUCUUUUAAACUGAGUUUUACUGUGCGUAUUGCUAUGUGUUUCUUUAUUCUACAUUGGCUAGAGAUAUAGGAGGAGGGUUGAGAUCUCACAAAACAUGUUUAACCCCUCCGCAUUUUCAGUUGCGCCUGUCUCAAGUCAGAAGCCUCUGGCCGUUGUUAGUCUUGUAUGUUUUUUUUUUUAUUUCAUUUAUAUGUUUUGGAAUUUAGUGUGACGUCCUUUUUCACUGAACGAGAUAACAUUUUUAGUUUGGGGCUAGCUGAAGACCACCUCCGGGAGCGAGAUUUUCUCGCUGCGUUGAAGACCCAUUGGUUUCCUUCGGCUGUUGUCUGCUCUUUGGUCGGUUGUUGUCUCUUUGACAUAUUCCCCAUUUCAUUCUCAAUCGUAUAAAUAUCUCAAGGGGCGGAUGCAGAUUUUCAAAGGCAUAUGGGUUACUAGUAAGUUGGAAAUCAAUCAGACUUCGUUUAGAUGGGACAUGUCUUCAGAAUGAAUAAAGAUGAACAAUAUGGGGAGGGGGGAGUAAAAGAUUGAAAAGUUAAACGUUUUUUGUUUGUUUUGUUUACUAAAUGCACAAUAAAUUUAUGUACAUCUCUUUUCGGUUAAUCUUCCUCUUGGCAUAUUCUUUUAACGAUUUAAAAGUCCAUCAAACAGAAAACUGAGAAGAUGUGUGUUACGUAUAAGACGCAAUAAACCACAAAAAACAUCUAAUAGAUAUAGGAAGAUGUGGUAUGAGUGGAUAGUGUCCAUGAGACAACUCUCAAUCCAAGUCAUAAUUAAAGUAUAUCAUUAUAGGUCAAGUACGGUUUUUGAGCCUUGGCUCACAGCCGAACAGCAAGCUAUAAAGGGCCCAAAAAACAGUUACUAGUGUAAAAUCAUUCAAACGGGAAAACCAACAUGGACGUCAAGUUGGUUACUUAUUCCCUAUUCCCUAUUCGUUACUAAUUCCCUAUUCGUUACCUAUUCCCAAUUCCCUAUUCGUUACCUAUUCGUUAUCUAUUCCCUGUUCCCUAUUCGUUACCUAUUCGUUACUAAUUCCCUAUUCCCUAUUCCCUAUUCGUUACCUAUUCGUUACCUAUUCCCUAUUCCCUAUUCGUUACUUAUUCGUUACUUAUUCUCUAUUCCCUAUUCGUUACUUAUUCCCUAUUCCCUAUUCGUUACCUAUUCCCUAUUCCCUAUUCGUUACCUAUUCCCUAUUCCCUAUUCGUUACUUAUUCCCUAUUCGUUACCUAUUCCCUAUUCCCUAUUCGUUACCUAUUCCCUAUUCCCUAUUCGUUACCUAUUUGUUAUCUAUUCCCUAUUCCCUAUUCCCUAUUCGAGCGCUGGAACGGGUACAUAUGCGCUAAUAUGGUUAUUUCAUCUCUAAGAACACAUUGUUACCACCAGAGACAUGAAUACAAUUGAAAAUCCUGUUCUAAAAGAUGCAACGUAUAACAAACGUAUUAUAAGCGAAUAAGUAACAGGGUAUUAUCCGAGCGCUGGAACGGGUACAUAUGCGCUAAUAGGGUUAUUUCAUCUCUAAGAACACAUUAUUACCACCAGAGACAUGAACACAAUUGAAAAUCAUUUUCUAAAAGGUGCAACGGAUAACAAACGUAUUAUAAGCGAAUAAGUAAUGAAUAAGUAACAGGGUACUAACCGAGCGCUGGAACAGUUUCAUACGUGGUAAUAUGGUUAUUUCAUCUCUAAGAACACAUUAUUACCACCAGAGACAUGAACACAAUUGAAAAUCCUUUUCUAAAAGGUGCAACGUAUACAAACGUAUUAUAAGCGAAUAAGUAACGAAUAAGUAACAGGGUAUUAUCCGAGCGCUGGAACGGGUACAUACGCGCUAAUAGGGUUAUUUCAUCUCUAAGAACACAUUAUUACCACCAGAGACAUGAACACAAUUGAAAAACGAUUUAUUUCAAGUGCAACGUAUAAAACGCGUAUUAAAGCGAAUAAGGAACGAAUAAGUAACGGGUAUAUACGCGCUAAUAUGGUUAUUUCAUCUCUAAGAACACAUUGUUACCACCAGAGACAUGAACACAAUUGAAAAUCCUUUUAAAAAGGUGCAACGUAUAACAAACGUAUUAUAAGCGAAUAAGUAACGAAUAAGUAACAAGGUAUUAUCCGAGCGCUGGAAAGGGUACAUACGCGGUAAUAGGGUUAUUUCAUCUCUAAGAACACAUUGUUACCACCAGAGACAUGAACACAAUUAAAAAUCGAUUUAUUUCAAGGUGCAAUGCGUAACACACGUUUUAUAAGCGAAUAAGGAACGAAUAAGUAACAGGGUAUCAGUGUAGCGCUGAAACGGGUAUAUAUGCGCUAAUGCGGUUUUUUCACCUCAGAGAACACAUAAUUACCGCCAGAGACAUGAAAGCAAUCGAUAAUCGAUUUAUUUCAAGGUGCAACGUAUACCACGCGUAUUAAAAGCGAAUAAGGAACGAAUAAGUAACAGGGUAUCAGUCGAGCGCUGAAACGGGUACAUAUGUUCUAUUAGGAUUAUUUUACCUCUAAGAACCGGAAAUAUUAACCACCAGAGAUACGAAAAUAUUUCUUUUUGAAAUUGGAACGUAUAACACACGUUUUAUAAGCGAAUAAGGAACGAAUAAGUAACAGGAUAACAGUGUAGCGCUGAAACGGGUACAUAGGCGCUAAUAGGGUUUCCCCCCUCUUCGAACACAUAGGUACCACAAGAGACAAGAAAACAAUUGAAAAUCAUUUUCUAAAUGGUUCAACGUAAAACAAACGUAUGAGACGUGAAUAAGAAACGAAUAAGUAACAGGGUAACAGUCGAGCGCUGAAACGGGUACAUACGCGCUUAUAGGGUUAAAUCACCCAUUAGAACCCAAAUUUACCACCAGUGACAAGAAAACAAUUGAAAAUCAUUUUUUUUAAAUGUGCAACGUAUUACACGCGUAUUAUACGCGAAUAAGGAACGAAUAAGUAACAGGGUAUCAGUCGAGCGCUGAAACUGCUACAUACGCGCUGAUAGGGGUAUACCACCUCUUAGAAACGAAAUCUACCUCUAGAAACAAAACAAUUUAAAUCCUUUUUUUAAAAGGUGCAACGUAUACCACGCGUAUUAAAAGCGAUUAAGGAACGAAUAAGUGUCAUUUUUGGGUCUAUUGUGGGAGUUGUCUCAUUGGCGAUCAUACCACAUCUUCAUUUUUAUACAAGCGCUAAAAGGUGAUUUCACCUCUUCGAACCAAGAACCACAUCUUCAAACAUACGAAUAUAAAACAUUUAAAAGGUAGAACGUAUAAAAAUCAAAUAAGAAACAAAUAAGUAUCUAACAUAGAGCAACAGGAUCGGUUGAGCACAAACACAUAUAAAUAGGUCAUAAAAAGGUCAUUCUACCUCAACAAAUUUAGAACUAUAACCAGAGAUAAGAAUAUAAACAAUUAAAAAGGGGGAAGGAUAUCAAAAAUCGAAUAGAAGUAACGAAUAAGGAAUAAGUAAUAAGUAACGAAUAGGUAAUAAGGAAUUAGUAAUGAAUAGGUAACGAAUAGGGAAUAAGUAACGAAUAGGUAACGAAUAGGGAAUAGGGAAUAAGUAACGAAUAGGUAACGAAUAGGGAGUAGGGAAUAGGUAGCGAAUAGGUAACGAAUAGGUAACGAAUAUGGAAUAGGUAACGAAUAGGGAAUAGGUAACGAAUAGGGAAUAGGGAAUAGGUAACGAAUAGGGAAUAGGGAAUAGGUAACGAAUAGGGAAUAGGUAACGAAUAGGGAAUAGGGAAUAAGUAACCAUCUUGACGUCCAUGAAAACCAACGGUCUAAUCUAUAUAAAAAACGACAAACGAAAAACACUUAUGAACCACAUAAGCAUGCCUAUAGGGCAACAUAUAGUGUUCAACAAUAGACAGGUGUCUAAACUAAAUCGUUAUGUUGGUUCAAAAGCUCACCCAGAACUUAUAGGGUUCAUGUUGUCUAUUCUUUAGUUUUCUAUGUUGUGUCAUGUGUAAUAUUGUUUGUCUGUUUGUCUUUUUCAUUUUUAGCCAUGGCGUUGUCAGUUUGUUUUAGAUUUAUGGGUUUGACUGUCCCUUUGGUAUCUUUCGUCCCUUUUUUGUAGUGUUACUUAUCCUGCAAAAUUAACAGAAAACUUACUUGAUGUGAUUUGCUCGUCUCGAAUUCAUGUAAAAGAGAGGCGAAAGAUAUACCAGAGGGACUUUCUGGUCUUGUCGAAUCCAAAGAAAUUUGGCAUAUUGGUGCUUCUCGGAAAAUCACAAGGUGUAAGGUCAAAGACUAGUUCACUUAGAGUGGCUUAUUACUUUGUAAAUCCUCCUCCUUAACAUCAUCCUCAUCCUCGUCAUCAUGUCGGCCGGGCAUUUUAUAGCCAACUUUACGGUAUGGGUGUUUCUCAAUGGUGAAAGCCGUACUGUUGCCCAUAAUUGCUUACAUCCACUUUAUUUGAACUAUGGUUGAUAGUUGUCUCAUUGGCAAUCAUACCUCAUCUUAUAUUUUUAUAAAGGUCUCUGAAAACUGAAAUGCGGCAUUAGGGACAGACAAGAUGCAUAUUUCAAUCCAAAACUAAAAGCCAUAUCUGUUAAAACCCCCAUAAGUAAGUAAGAACUACAUUUACUUUUCAGCUGUCCAAGUUUCAUUACAAUCAAGCGAGAAAUGCUAAUAUUAUCCAUUGAAACCAGUGGUAUUAUGCAAGAGAAUUUCAGACAUACUAAGAACUAUUUGCCCCAGGAAUUACAACCUCCAUAUAUAGCAUAUUGAGAAAUAGCCUUGGUCAAUACCUUUGAAAUGAGCUAGGUCCGGUAGAGAUAUGCCAAGUAGUAUCGAAUGUGUGGUUGGAAUGAAAAAUACAUAUUGCCUUGAUUAGGGGCUGACGGGUUGCAGCAGUCCAUUCCAUUGUUCAAAAUAAGCGAUUUCUCAAUGUUCAAGCGUAUUUCGAUAUUUCGGUCCUUCGUUACUCCUCUAAUAUGCGUUACGGAACAUAUUGACUAUAUGCCUUUUGUUCCUCUCUGGAUAAGAUUUCGAAUAAGGUUGAAGGUAUAUCUAUAAUUAGGGACUAAUAUGACGUUAGUGAGUGAAAUUUGGCGGAAUUUAUGCAAUGUUUGCAAUAUUUUUAAGAGAUUACUAGAGUGAUUACGGUAAAAUUUUGUUACAUCUUACAAGUUAUUUUCAUAACAAUUUUGGUUUAAACAGGCGGAUUGACAAACAUACAUUUUAUAAAACGACUAUCUAAUUUAAUAAUGAUAAAAUACAAUUAAAACGGAAUAUUUUGGUAUAUAAUGAUACAGUUUUGUUUUACUAACUGAAGUACAUAUUCGCCAUCCAAAUGUUAAUACACGUCAAAGUAAGAAGUGACACCACUAUCGUGCGUAACGUCAUAAUAUGCGUUGAGGAACCGACCCUUAUUGCAGAUAUACUUAUACCUCAUUCGAAAUCUUAUCAAGAUAGGAACAAAAGGUAUAUAGUCAAUAUGUUCCGUAACGCAUAUUAGACGGGAGUAACGAAGGACCGAAAUAUCGAAAUACGCUUGAACAUUGAGAAAUCGCUUAUUUUGAAUAAUGGAAUGGACUGCUGCAACCAUCAGCCCCUAAUCAAGGCAAUAUGUAUUUUUCAUUCCAACCACACAUUCGAUACUACUUGGAAUCUCUCAACGGCAAAGUUCCGAACCGGACUCAGAUCAUUUCAAAGGUAUUGACCAAGGCUAUUUCUCACUAUGCUAUAUAUGGAGGUCGUAAUUCCUGGGGCAAAUAGUCUUAGUAUGUCUGAAAUUCUCUUGCAUAAUACCACUGGUUUCAAUGGAUAAUAUUAGCAUUUCUCGCUUGAUUGUCAUGAAACUUGGACAGCUGAAAAGUAAAUGUAGUUCUUACUUACUUAUGGAGGUUUUAACAGAUAUGGCUUUUAGUUUUGGAUUGAAUAUGCAUCUUUUCUGUCCCUAAUGCCGCAAUUCAGUUUUCAGAGACCUUUAUAAAUAAUAUAUAAAGGUUAUAAGAUGAGGUAUGAUUGCCAAUGAGACAACUAUCAACCAUAGUUCAAAUAAAGUGGAUGUAAGCAAUUUUUGGCAACAGUACGGCCUUCACCAGUGAGAAACACCCAUACCGUAUAGUCGCCUAUAAAAUGCCCCGUGACAGGAUGACGAGGAUGAGGAUGAGGAUGAUAAUUAGGAGGAGGAUUUACAAAGCAACAAGCCACUCUAAGUCAACUAGUCUUUGACCUUACACCUUGUGAUUUUCCGAGAAGCACCAAUAUGCCAAAUUUCUUUGGAUACGAACCAGAACAGAAUGUCCCUCUGGUAUAUCUUUCGCCUCUCUUUUACGUGCAUUCGAGACGAUCAAAUCACAUCAAGUAAGUUUUCUGUUAAUUUUGCAGGAUAAGUAACACUACAACUUAAGCUCUGAGUGAGCUUUUGAACCAACAUAACGAUUUAGUUUAGACACCUGUCUAUUGUUGAACACUAUAUGUUGCCCUCUAGACAUGCGUAUGUGGUUCAUAAGUGUUUCUCGUUUGUCGAUUUUUAUAUAGAUUAGACCGUUGGUUUUCCCGUUUGAAUGGUUUUACACUAGUAACUGUUUUUUGGGCCCUUUAUAGCUUGCUGUUCGGUGUGAGCCAAGGCUCAGUGUUGAAGACCGUACCUUGAUCCUAUGAUGAUUUACUUUUAUAAUUAUGACUUGGAUGGAGAGUUGUCUCAUGGACACUCAUACCACAUUUUCCUAUAUCUAUUAGGUAUUUUUGUGUCCUUUGAUUGGGGUCUUAUUGACGUAUAACACACAUCUUCUACAGUUUUAGUUCCGUUUGAUGGACUUUUAAAUCGUUAAAUGAAUAUGCCAAGAGGAAGAUUAACCGAAAAGAGAUGUACAUAAAUUUAUUGUGCAUUUAGUAAACAAAACAAACAAAAAACGUUUAACUUUUCAAUCUUUUACUCCCUCCUCCCAAUAUUGUUCAUCUUUAUUCAUUCUGAAGACAUGUCUCAUCUAAACGAAGUCUGAUUGAUUUCCAACUUACUAGUAAACCCAUAUGCCUUUGAAAAUCCUGCAUCCGCCCCUUGAGAUAUUUAUAAGAUUGAGAAUGGAAAUGGGGAAUAUGUCAAAGAGACAACAACCCGACCAAAGAGCAGACAACAGCCGAAGGAAACCAAUGGGUCUUCAACGCAGCGAGAAAAUCUCGCACCCAGAGGUGGUCCUCAGCUAGUCCCAAACUAAAAAUGUGUUCUCGUUCAGUGAAAAUGGACGUCACACUUAAUUCCAAAACAUAUAAAUGUAAUAAAAAAAACAAAACAUACAAGACUAACAACGGCCAGAGGCUCCUGACUUGAGACAGGCGCAACUAAAAAUGCGGCGGGAUUAAACAUGUUUUGUGAGAUCUCAACCCUCCCCCUAUACCUGUAGCCAAUGUAGAAUAAAGAAACACAUAGCAAUACGCACAGUAAAACUCAGUUUAAAAGAAGUCCGAGUCCGAUGUCAGAAUAGGCAACAAAAGAAACCAAGCAAAAUGACAAUGAUAAAUAAAUUAACAAAGGACUGACAUGCAAGCUGCAGACCUCAAUUAAACUGAUUGAAAGAUUAUGUCUUCAUCAUAUGAAAAUCAAGUACAAUCCCUACCCUUAGGGGUUUAGUAUCAUAUCUUUAUAAAAUAAAUGAGAAGAACAUAACCCGUAUCAUGCCAACAACUGGUUUUAGAAUACAUGUGUUUAUUUCCGAUGCAAAGACAAUGAGUGAAUCAAUAUUAAUACCAAAAUAUGCAAUCCUUAAUGACCUGUCAACAGUUUCGUAACUAUAUCUUUUCCGAAUAAGUAUUUAAUAUUUCAAGGUUUGAAGUCAAGUGAGAGGACAUUUGCCACAUCUCAGCAAGGUCCGAAGUGACUGUCUUUCCAACUCCUCCAGAAAGCGAUCUUUUCAUUGGUGAACAAAACUAUUAGCAAAUUGAAUUAAGGAUAUACUAAAAUCAAUUAAGUGUAUACUAAAAUCGUUAUUUAUGACCUUGAAACCGGCGCCAAUAUUUCUUAUAUGCUGAAUAUUUCAGUAUAUGCUAAAUUGAUUUUAGGGUAUCCUAAAAUGAUUUUAGUAUAUGCUAAAAUCAUUUUAGUAUAUACUGAAUUGACUUAAGAAUACCCUAAAAUGAAUUUAGCAUAUACUAAAAUCAUUUUAGGAUACACUAAAAUCAUUUUAGGAUACCCUAAAAUCAAUUUAGGGUAUGCUAAAAUGUAAUUUAGUAUAUACUGAAAUCAUUUUAGGAUAUACUAAAAUCGAUAUUUAUGACCCUGAUUCCGCGCCAUAUAGGAAGAGCAAACGGCACCCCUUCACAACUUAACUAAAUGGUGUAAUAACCUCGACAGUAAUUAUCUUCACUUCUCUGGAUGUUUUAAUAUUGUAGGAUAUCUUUUUAAGCAGAUCUUUGACAUAAUCAUUGAAACACUCCUGAAGUUAUUGACGGUCUGAGAUAAGGAAACACUGAAUCACAGGUUCAUCUGGAAGGGUCGAUGUCUAACUAUUUUACUACAGAGAAACGCCAUCCUUGUCUAAUUGAAAUGAAUCCUGGUUACUUCCCUUUGUAUUGGUAAUAACCUAGUUCAGUCCUAAAGUACAACGUUUAUAAAACAACACGCAUAUGAAUCAGCUGCACAUUUAAUUUGUUAGUUUUGUGAGUCAAUGGUCUAAUUCUAUAGUCUCUAUAAU
rnacentral:lncRNA from 1 species